CCCUUAGAUGUUCGGGGCCGCACGCGCGCUACACUGAAGGACUCAGCGUGUCUCUCCCCCUAUCCCGAAAGGGAUGGGCAACCCGUUGAACCUCCUUCGUGCUAGGGAUUGGGGUUUGCAAUUAUCCCCCAUGAACGAGGAAUUCCCAGUAAGCGCGAGUCAUCAGCUCGCGUUGAUUACGUCCCUGCCCUUUGUACACACCGCCCGUCGCACCUACCGAUUGAAUGACUCGGUGAAAAAUUGGGACUGUGAUUGAAAUUGCUUCAUUGCGAAUUUAAUCAUGGAAACUUUCUUUAACCUAGGCAUUUAGAGGAAGGUGAAGUCGUAACA
rnacentral:rRNA from 1 species